AGCCUGAACGCUGGCGGCGUGGCUAAGACAUGCAAGUCGCACGGAUGUAGCAAUACAUCAGUGGCGCACGGGUGAGUAAUUUAUCGCUAAUGUACCCUGGAGCCAGGGAUAGCUGCCCGAAAGGGCAGGUAAUACCUGAUGACAUAACACUGUCGCAUGACAGAGUUCUCAAAGCAAGCAAUGCACUCCUGGAGCAGGCGAUAUCGUAUCAGCUAGUUGGUGAGUAACGGCUCACCAAGGCGAAUCGACGCGUAGCUGGUCUGAGGAGGACGACCAGGCCACAUCGGGACUGAGACACGUCGCCCGGACGUCCGUACGGGGGGCUCGGACACGUAACGAAUCGUUACCGCAAAGUGACAACGAAGUGA
rnacentral:rRNA from 1 species